UUUUUUUCUGACAAGGCGUCGGACAACCCACCUCCACCGUGGAAAAAGACAUUGAUAUCGCUCGCUGCUCCGCUAUUGAAUUUCCGGCUGAUUGGACCACAGAAGUGGUCCGGAUCACCUUGAGGACUUUAUGUGGCACCUCGGGGAGAAGCUCGUUCAGCUGAGAUCGCGAGGCCCCCAGUAGCCACUGGAAGGACGGUGCUCUCUUCAGCAUGAGCUGACCGACCAGAGGGCUGAUACUCGGAAAUUGCAACAGACACUUUUCCUCCUGACGGGAAAAGGAAAAGGUUGUUUAAGCUCUCACAUAGUGGCAUAUUGUACAUUGUAUGUAUAAAACAUACAAGUCAGUUGAAAAAACGUAUAAAAAAAAAGAAAAUACAGAAGUAGCUGUCACAGUUUAGUUGCCACGACAGAAAACACACAUGCUCCUGUAAUUGCACAUAUAAACUUAAAAAUUGUGAGAAAAUAUUUUUCUGCUGAUGUAAGUAAACACGCUUGUACAUAUUUAUUUUUUAAUUUAAUUAGGUAGACAGAUUAGGUAUUUUAAUCUGUAUUCUGGAAGAAAUGGGAAUUGAAUUAACUAAUGGGAUUUGAUUUUUUUUUACAUAGUGCAGAACAUAGAGAGCUACAGUCGUCCACAUUAGAUGGAAUAAAUGCAUCAAAACGGGUUGAUUUUACAGUUGUUUCUCAAAUGAUAAAAACAGGACUGAACUUUCUCUAAUGGUUUACUCUCUGUGAGGUUUUUUUUUUUGUGUGUGACUCUACCUGUGAAGGCAUCACAGUCAACCAGUCUCUGUUGAGGAAGCCCAGAGGAUCCCUGUCACUGGACGUCAGGCAGUGGAAGCAGAUCUGACUGAUCCACUUGGCAAUUUCCAAAACCUCCGACACGAUCAGCACCUGAAACAAACAUUUCUAUCAGCGUUGAGUGUAACUCUAUUGUACAUUACUGAAGUACAAGUACAAUUUUGAGAUCCUUGGACUUCGUUCCAAACAGCACCAGGGACGAAUAAACCAACACCACGUUACCGAAGGCUUCGCUGGAAAAUCUGCCAUCACACAGACCAGAAACAGUAAUGG